UACGAAGGGGGCUAGCGUUGCUCGGAAUCACUGGGCGUAAAGCGCACGUAGGCGGAUUGUUAAGUCAGGGGUGAAAUCCUGGAGCUCAACUCCAGAACUGCCUUUGAUACUGGCGAUCUCGAGUCCGGGAGAGGUGAGUGGAACUGCGAGUGUAGAGGUGAAAUUCGUAGAUAUUCGCAAGAACACCAGUGGCGAAGGCGGCUCACUGGCCCGGUACUGACGCUGAGGCACGAAGGUCAGGGGAGCAAACGGG
rnacentral:rRNA from 1 species